GCCCGGAUGGUGAAAUUGGUAGACACAAGGGACUUAAAAUCCCUCGGCGCAAGCCAUACCGGUUCGAUUCCGGUUCCGGGUACCA
rnacentral:tRNA from 1 species